GUCCCACCUUAUUAGCUCUGACUUUGCUGAUAGACACUUUAUCGAGGAGAAAUAUACUUACUAUGACUGAGAUAGGUGGUUGUUCCACCCAUCUAUCUUAAGAUGAAUUCACUAACUGUAAGUCACUCUGGAUAUGAGCAUCUGUUAAAUGACUAACAUGUAAAGAAAAUGUAAACAUUCAGUCAAUGUCAUAAUGUAGGGUGACAUUACUCCUUGGUUAACCGCCUGUGUCUCAGGGACAGGGCUCCUGUAACUGGACAGGCCACUGCAGAUGUCUGCUACUCCAUGUGUCUGGAAUGUCUGUGUGGUGACACCAUCUGUCAACAUAGAGAAAGACGUUAAGAGACCUGAUACUUCUCUCUCAGUGGAGGCUGCUGAGGGGAGGACGGCUCAUAAUAAUGGCUGGAACGGAGCAAAUGGAAUGGAAUCAAACACAUAGAAACCAUAGAAACCAUGUGUUUGAUGUAUUUGAUACCAUUCUACAGACAUGGGUCAAUGGUACUGGUUGAAAUGUUUUUGGAGGUUUUUAGGCUUAGUAAUUUUCCUCCGGCUUUUUUUUCCCUAUACAUGCCAUUGUAACAAUUAGUCAUGAAUCGUAUAGUCAACAGUGUCUUGAAUUGUAUGAGAGUACUUGUUCAUCAGUGGAAAAACAGGUCAGGUCAGAUUUCAGAAAGUCAAAUGACAGAACGCAUGGUGGAGGAGGAUAUGAUUAGAGAGGCCAAUAGAGAGCACUGUUGAAGACACAAUAGAGAGAGAGAGGAGAGGUGAAGAGAGGUCAGGAGAGGUGAAGAGAGGUCAGGAGGGGUGAAGAGAGGUCAGGAGGGGUGAGAGAGGUCAGGAGGGGUGGAGAGAGGUCAGGAGGGGUGAAGAGAGGUCAGGAGGGGUGAAGAGAGGUCAGGAGAGGUGAAGAGAGGUCAGGAGGGGUGAGAGAGGUCAGGAGGGGUGAGAGAGGUCAGGAGGGGUGAAGAGAGGUCAGGAGGGGUGAAGAGAGGUCAGGAGGGGUGAGAGAGAGGUCAGGGGGUGUGAAGAGAGGGCAAGAGGGGUGAGAGAGGUCAGAAGGGGUGAGAGAGGUCAGGGGGUGUGAAGAGAGGUCAGGAGAGGUGAAGAGAGGGGUCAGGAGGGGUGAAGAGAGGUCAGGAGGGGUGAAGAGAGGUCAGGAGGGGUGAAGAGAGGUCAGGAGGGGUGAAGAGUGGUCAGGAGGGGUGACGAGCGGUCAGGAGGGGUGAAGAGAGGUCAGGAGGGGUGAAGAGAGGUCAGGAGGGGUGAUAGAGGUCAGGGGGUGUGAAGAUUAGUGUUAUGUUAGCUAGCUAGCUACAAAGUUGCUUUGUAUCAUGACAAGGUGUAGUACUGAAACGACCGAGGUUACCUAGCCAGCUACACGUUCAAAGUCAACAACGCAGCCACUGCUAGCUAGCCUACUCCACCAGCCAGCAAUACUGUAUCAUUUUAGUCAAUAACAUUUUUGCAACGUAAGCUUAACUUCCUGAACAUUCGAGACGUGUAGUCCACUUGUCAUUCCAAUCUCAUUUGCAUUAGCGUAGCCUCUUCUGUAGCUUGUCUACUAUGUGUCUGUCUAUCCCUGUUCUCUCUCCUCUGCACAGGCC
rnacentral:lncRNA from 1 species